rnacentral:tRNA from 1 species
UAAAACUUGCAUCAUACUAAAAUGCAUCUCCUGAAUGCAACUCAAGCACUUUAAUUAAGCUAAAGCUU